CCUACGGGUGGCAGCAGUGAGGAAUAUUGGUCAAUGGACGCGAGUCUGAACCAGCCAAGUAGCGUGAAGGAUGACUGCCCUAUGGGUUGUAAACUUCUUUUAUAUGGGAAUAAACUGUUCCACGUGUGGGUUUUUGUAUGUACCAUAUGAAUAAGGAUCGGCUAACUCCGUGCCCGCAGCCGCGGUAAUACGGAGGAUCCGAGCGUUAUCCGGAUUUAUUGGGUUUAAAGGGAGCGUAGGUGGAUUGUUAAGUCAGUUGUGAAAGUUUGAGGCUCAACCGUAAAAUUGCAGUUGAAACUGGCAGUCUUGAGUACAGUAGAGGUGGGCGGAAUGCGUGGUGUAGCGGUGAAAUGCUUAGAGAUCACGAAGAACUCCGAUUGCGAAGGCAGCUCACUGGACUGCAACUGACACUGAGGCUCGAAAGUGUGGGUAUCAAACAGGAUUAGAUACCCCGGUAGUC
rnacentral:rRNA from 1 species